UACGUAGGGUGCGAGCGUUAAUCGGAAUUACUGGGCGUAAAGCGUGCGCAGGCGGUUGUGCAAGACCGAUGUGAAAGCCCCGGGCUCAACCUGGGAACGGCAUUGGUGACUGCACGGCUAGAGUGUGUCAGAGGGGGGUAGAAUUCCACGUGUAGCAGUGAAAUGCGUAGAGAUGUGGAGGAAUACCGAUGGCGAAGGCAGCCCCCUGGGAGUGACACUGACGCUCAUGCACGAAAGCGUGGGGAGCAAACAGG
rnacentral:rRNA from 1 species